ensembl:lncRNA
UAGCCUUCCAAAAUGUCCAUUGCACUCUCUAAAAUAGGGCUGUUUAUUGUUCGUUUUUAUAUUACAGUCACAUAAAGACUUGUUCACAUGUCUCAUUAGUGCUUAGUGCUCUUAGUCCUCUGAAUUUGGAGAAAGUAAUACUGCUGUAUAUGUAGAACAGGAAAGAAAACAACCACUAUGACCAAUGCAGUCGGGCUUGCUACCAUUUGUACCCAAUUGUUUUUGUUUUUCCUUAAGGGUUUUUUUUUCCCCCCCUGAAAGCAACACAUGGCACUCAUGAUUACUUUCCAAACUUUCCAUGUCCUCAUGUUCCCUCUGGGUUAAGGAUAAAUAGGAGACACAAACUUAUAAUACUAAUGUCACGAUAAAUAGAAUGAUGGUGACGUGAAAGACUUGGGUUAUUAAACGUUCACAGUAAAACAUCUUAAAGCAAUACGUUAAUAUUUCAUUCAUUAAACGUAUGGAAUGAUGGACAUGGAUAGUGAUGAGUGAAAUAAAAACCUCGACCCGUCAAACCCUCCACCGUCUCAAACCAUUGUGUAUGAAGAUGAAACACUGUGUUAAAAUGAACACUGUGCUCGUAGUGUUCAAGUGAGACUGUUGGAAAUUAUGGCCAAAGAUGAAUUAGAAUGAGGAAUCGCGUAUAAAACCGAGAGAGUUCUCCGAUUGAUUAAAGAGUUCAGCGUCAUGCGUGGUUCGCGUAGGGUUGGCGGUUCGAUUCCCGGCCCACAUGCCUCUACAUCCUGAAGUGCUCUUGGGCAAGACAUUGAACGCCGAGUUGCUCCGGAUGGCAAGUUAGCGCCUUGCGUGGCAGCUGUGUUACCAUUAGUGUGCGUGAACGGGUGAAUGAGACACAGUAAAAAGCGCUAUAUAAGUGCAGACCAUUUACCAUGAUUUGAUUAGGCUUGCGUUUCUGUUUUUCAGCCUGUAAUACAUUGGGACAUGACCAGAGCUCUGAACGCUUUUGUGUCAAUCCUGCAGAACUGAUGAGUGACUAACCAACAUGGUGGCAAACUGCUUAACCAUGCCUGUUGGUUUUUGGGGGAACUAAAGGAGUACACUGUCAGAUACGGUCGUAUGUGUGUGCAGUAAGUACAGCUUCCAUUAGAGUGUGUGUGUGCGUCGUCGUUUUUUGUCCCCCCACCCAUACUUUUGGCACAUGUGCAAUGCGUGUGCAUGAUAAAUGUGUUUGUAUUCAGAGACGUAAGCUACACUCUUAUGGUGCUACCUUAGGUCUUAGGCAGCCAUGCACUUUCAGAGCGUGUGUGCGCGCACGGGUCAUAACCCCUUAAACAAGAAUCUACGUUAAGAGGAACUUCACAGCAUUCUCCACCUCAGUGAAUGAUCAUCCACAGCUUGUUUUUCUCCCCUCACAUGCACUAUGUUUAGAAAUUAUCAUUGUAUUAUUAUUAUUAUUACUAUUAUGUCCUUAAUUUUAUUAUGGUUCCUAU